rnacentral:rRNA from 1 species
ACCCAGAGAACUUUCCAGAGAUGGAUUGGUGCCUUCGGGAACUCUGAGACAGGUGCUGCAUGGCUGUCGUCAGCUCGUGUUGUGAAAUGUUGGGUUAAGUCCCGCAACGAGCGCAACCCUUAUCCUUUGUUGCCAGCGGUUAGGCCGGGAACUCAAAGGAGACUGCCAGUGAUAAACUGGAGGAAGGUGGGGAUGACGUCAAGUCAUCAUGGCCCUUACGAGUAGGGCUACACACGUGCUACAAUGGCGCAUACAAAGAGAAGCGACCUCGCGAGAGCAAGCGGACCUCAUAAAGUGCGUCGUAGUCCGGAUUGGAGUCUGCAACUCGACUCCAUGAAGUCGGAAUCGCUAGUAAUCGUGGAUCAGAAUGCCACGGUGAAUACGUUCCCGGGCCUUGUACACACCGCCCGUCACACCAUGGGAGUGGGUUGCAAAAGAAGUAGGUAGCUUAACCUUCGGGAGGGCGCUUACCACUUUGUGAUUCAUGACUGGGGUGAAGUCGUAACAAGGUAAGCGUAGUGCU